CAUGCAAGUCGAGCGCACUGGCCCAACUGAUAUGACGUGCUUGCACUGAUUUGACGAUGGAUUACCAGUGAGCGGCGGACGGGUGAGUAACACGUGGGCAACCUGCCCUAAAGCGGGGGAUAACAUUUGGAAACAGGUGCUAAUACCGCAUAACUACGAAAACCACAUGGUUUUCGUAUCAAAGAUGGUUUCGGCUAUCACUUUAGGAUGGGCCCGCGGUGCAUUAGCUAGUUGGUAGGGUAACGGCCUACCAAGGCAAUGAUGCAUAGCCGAGUUGAGAGACUGAUCGGCCACAAUGGAACUGAGACACGGUCCAUACUCCUACGGGAGGCAGCAGUAGGGAAUCUUCCACAAUGGGCGCAAGCCUGAUGGAGCAACACCGCGUGAGUGAAGAAGGGUUUCGGCUCGUAAAACUCUGUUGUUGAAGAAGAACGUGCAUGAGAGUAACUGUUCAUGCA
rnacentral:rRNA from 1 species